CCUGCGUCAUGGCGGAGAAGGGGACCUCUGUGGACGUGCAUCGCCGUUGGACUCUCGCCUGUCUUCUCUGAAGGAUCCAUGGGAUAGUCCCGCGACCCUAGAAGUGUGCUGGGGCGACCCAGCCUGAAGAAACCUCAAGCGGAGCCCAAGGGAUAACAGCGCAAAAUUCCUAAGGAUCCGCAGGAUGCUUCAGGCCUGCCUAGACGGUGUGGGUGUGAGUCUCCUUGAAACUUGCCCCCCUGUGAUUUCUAGUUCCAGGUGUGAGACCUCUUCUCCGUCUUGGACUUGCCUUUAUUGCCGUUCCUGCCUUACCCAGACAGCCGCGCUGAGAAGCAGGACUCCCUGGGGGGCCCUGGAUGAACGGAGGCAGUGAGCUCAAAGGCCUCGCAGUCUUCCACUGACACCCUCCUCUGGGGUCUCAGGUAUGAUUCCAUCACCCGGAGAUCCCUCAACAACUCACCAGACUGUAUUCCCUUCUCCCUGGGACUGGAUUCUUGCACACAGACUCUUUCAGGAAUGGAGUCCAAAGAGAAGUUCCCAGCGCCCACCUCA